CCCGAGUUGUAAUUUGUAGAGGAUGCUUUUGAUGCGGUGCCUUCCGAGUUCCCUGGAACGGGACGCCAUAGAGGGUGAGAGCCCCGUCUGGUUGGAUGCCAAAUCUCUGUAAAGCUCCUUCGACGAGUCGAGUAGUUUGGGAAUGCUGCUCUAAAUGGGAGGUAUAUGUCUUCUAAAGCUAAAUAUUGGCCAGAGACCGAUAGCGCACAAGUAGAGUGAUCGAAAGAUGAAAAGCACUUUGAAAAGAGAGUUAAAAAGUACGUGAAAUUGUUGAAAGGGAAGCGUUUAUGACCAGACUUGGGCUUGGUUAAUCAUCUGGGGUUCUCCCCAGUGCACUUUUCCAGUCCAGGCCAGCAUCAGUUUUCGCCGGGGGACAAAGGCUUCGGGAAUGUGGCUCCCUCCGGGGAGUGUUAUAGCCCGUUGCGUAAUACCCUGGCGGG
rnacentral:rRNA from 1 species